GAUUCCACAUAGGAAUGAGAUCAUGUGGUA
rnacentral:piRNA from 1 species